UACGUGGGGUGCAAGCGUUAAUCGGAAUUACUGGGCGUAAAGCGUGCGCAGGCGGUUCGUUAAGUUCGUUGUGAAAGCCCCGGGCUCAACCUGGGAACUGCAAUGGAAACUGGCGGGCUUGAGUGUGGCAGAGGGGGGUGGAAUUCCGCGUGUAGCAGUGAAAUGCGUAGAGAUGCGGAGGAACACCGAUGGCGAAGGCAGCCCCCUGGGCCAACACUGACGCUCAGGCACGAAAGCGUGGGGAGCAAACAGG
rnacentral:rRNA from 1 species